rnacentral:rRNA from 1 species
ACCAGUACCGUGAGGGAAAGGCGAAAAGAACCCCUGUGAGGGGAGUGAAAUAGAACCUGAAACCGUGUGCGUACAAGCAGUGGGAGCCUUAAUUUAUUAGGGUGACCGCGUACCUUUUGUAUAAUGGGUCAGCGACUUAUAUUCUGUAGCAAGGUUAACCGUUUAGGGGAGCCGUAGGGAAACCGAGUCUUAAUAGGGCGAUUAGUUGCAGGGUAUAGACCCGAAACCGAGUGAUCUAUCCAUGAGCAGGUUGAAAGUGCCGUAACAGGCACCGGAGGACCGAACCCACUGUCGUUGAAAAGCCAGGGGAUGACUUGUGGAUAGGGGUGAAAGGCUAAUCAAACUCGGUGAUAGCUGGUUCUCCCCGAAAGCUAUUUAGGUAGCGCCUCGGACGAACACCAUUGGGGGUAGAGCACUGUUUCGGCUAGGGGGUCAUACCGACUUACCAAACCGAUGCAAACUCCGAAUACCGAUGAGUGAUAUCCGGGAGACACACAGUGGGUGCUAACGUCCAUUGUGGAGAGGGAAACAACCCAGACCGCCAGCUAAGGCCCCAAAUUCCUAGUUAAGUGGGAAACGAGGUGGGAAGGCAUAGACAGCUAGGAGGUUGGCUUAGAAGCAGCCAUCCUUUAAAGAAAGCGUAAUAGCUCACUGAUCGAGUCGUCCUGCGCGGAAGAUGUAACGGGGCUAAGCCAGUUACCGAAGCUGCGGAUGUGCAAUUUAUUGCACGUGGUAGGAGAGCGUUCUGUAAGCCUGCGAAGGUGUCUUGUAAAGGAUGCUGGAGGUAUCAGAAGUGCGAAUGCUGACAUGAGUAGCGAUAAUGCGGGUGAAAAGCCCGCACGCCGUAAGCCCAAGGUUUCCUGUUCAACGUUCAUCGGAGCAGGGUGAGUCGGCCCCUAAGGCGAGGCAGAGAUGCGUAGCUGAUGGGAAGCAGGUUAAUAUUCCUGCACCGUCGUAUGAUGCGAUGGGGGGACGGAUCGCGGAAGGUUGUCUGACUGUUGGAAUAGUCAGUUUCUGGUUCAUAGAAGGCGCUUAGGCAAAUCCGGGCGCGUAAUUCAAGGGAUCGGGACGAGCGGCUUUAUGCUGCGAAGCAAUCGGAAGUGGUUCCAAGAAAAGCCUCUAAGCUUCAGUCAUACGAGACCGUACCGCAAACCGACACAGGUGGGCGAGAUGAGUAUUCUAAGGCGCUUGAGAGAACUCGGGAGAAGGAACUCGGCAAAUUGGUACCGUAACUUCGGGAAAAGGUACGCCCCGGUAGCUUGACUGCUUUGCUGCAGAAGGGUGAAAGGGUUGCAAUAAAAUGGUGGCUGCGACUGUUUAAUAAAAACACAGCACUCUGCAAACACGAAAGUGGACGUAUAGGGUGUGACGCCUGCCCGGUGCUGGAAGAUUAAAUGAUGGGGUGCAAGCUCUUGAUUGAAGUCCCAGUAAACGGCGGCCGUAACGAUAACGGUCCUAAGGUAGCG